AAGUAUUACCAAGCUCAGGGGGCUCAGGCUUUGUGAGGAUGGUGUCAGAAAGUGAGAAACAAGGAGACUGCAGCUCCCUCUUGGCUCUUGGGAGACCCCAUCCAAACUUGAGAGCAGAAGGGCAGGAGAGAUCUGUUUUACUGUAUGUCCCUACGUGCUGAAUUCAUCCAUUUCACUUACAGCCACCACUGCAGUGGCACCCACCACACCAGAACCCACUCCUAAGCAUGGCAUAACUGUGGACCCCAACCUCAAUACUCUGGAUCCAGAGAGAAUACAGGAAGAUCUGAAUUUCUUCUGUCACAUCUUCAUCUGGGUGCCCUUAGCAGGUGCCUGCCUCCUGCUCCUCAUUGCCCUGGUGAUCACCAUCGUGCUGUGUCAACAAACCAAAAGACGAAGAUGCAGGUGUAAGAGACCUGCAAACGGAAAGCCCCCCAUGAAACCCAGGACACCAAACUAACACAGAUCAGCAUCUGCUCCUUCUGGCUUCUGGAUCUUCUCCUGGGAGCUGUCAGCACAGAAAUCCAUCUCCCACAUUAUCCACAAUGCCACUGCACCUCACCCACUCUGCCCUGACAGAUUUGAAGAGACAAGAGGGAGCACAGACAAGAAGCAGCACUUCCCUGGGAACUGUAAAGCACAACUCCUUCCAAACCCCAAGCUUCUCUGGGCAAUUCCUAAGGCCAAAGGCCACCUCUGUUCCCAGGGCACAGGCACAAGAACCAGACCAGUCCAGGUGCUGACAUGCCUCAGUGAGGAGCUGAUGAGAAAUAAGGACGUGAGCUGGACCUUUGCUCAAGGCUGUGUGCAAUUUCCUCCCAAAACGCAGCCAGAGGUGGAAUUUGCUGCACAAAGAAAUAAUUAUCCCCACCCAACACAUCUUGUUGUGGUGCCUCCCUACUAGGGCUUUUACUGUUUCAUGUAAUGGAAUGCAAGACUACACUGAGAAGCUAAAUAUGGAUUAAAGGGCCUUACUUUUGAGGUUUUUACAGUUCUGGGGGCUAAGGUUCACUGUUGCCCUCACACUGUCCUUGUUCUGCUGCUACCCCCAAUCCACCUAUUUCUGCAGGAGUUUGGCCUGAGUAAGGAAAGUGGGAUUUGCUUUCUUUCUGAGGGAAAUGCCUGAGUGAUUUAAAAAAAUAAAUAAAUCUUUGUCACUUGUUUUGGUUAAGCAAAAUAUUUAACAUGUUGAUAUUCUGGGGACAUGUUAUGGACUACUGUAAAUUCUGUUUUUUUCAGAUCUGUAUUUCAUGUAAAUAUUUCCUUAGUAUACUUAAAAUUUAAGAACUGAGA